GAUGAACGCUAGCGGCAGGCCUAACACAUGCAAGUCGAGGGGUAACAUAGAAAAGCUUGCUUUUCUGAUGACGACCGGCGCACGGGUGCGUAACGCGUAUACAACCUACCUUUUAGCGGGGAAUAGCCCAGGGAAACUUGGAUUAAUGCCCCAUAGUAUAUAGACUUCUCCUGAAGUUUAUAUUAAACAUUUAUGGCUAUUAGAUGGGUAUGCGUCCUAUUAGUUAGUUGGUAAGGUAACGGCUUACCAAGGCAGCGAUAGGUAGGGGUCCUGAGAGGGAGAUCCCCACACUGGUACUGAGACACGGACCAGACUCCUACGGGAGGCAGCAGUGAGGAAUAUUGGACAAUGGGCGAGAGCCUGAUCCAGCCAUGCCGCGUGCAGGAAGACUGCCCUAUGGGUUGUAAACUGCUUUUACAGAGGAAGAACCACCCUCACGUGUGGGGGUUUGACGGUACUCUGCGAAUAAGGAUCGACUAACUCCGUG
rnacentral:rRNA from 1 species